rnacentral:lncRNA from 1 species
CAUGGCUUGCUCCACGCCGGGGGCGUACCUCCCGCUGCAGUAGGCCGGGGACUCGAGGCCCUUCUGGACUCCUUCGCACAGCUCGACGUCCUCCAUCUGCACCGACGACGUAAAGACCAGCCACCCUCUCCGGUCAGACCUCCCGCCGGGAACCCCAACCUGGCGGCGAGGGAGCGGACCGGGUUCCUCACCUGCACCCUCUCGCUCUCUUCCAGGCUCCUCUCGAUGAAGCCGCCGUCCUCCUGCGGAAGCCCACAAGCCCGGUCAGCGACUGCGCCCCGUCGGACGCUGCUUGCUGCAGCGACCGAGCUCCGGCUGCGGC